rnacentral:rRNA from 1 species
AACGAACGCUGGCGGCGCGCCUAAUACAUGCAAGUCGAGCGAGAAGACGUAGCAGUACGUUUGUAAAGCGGCGAACGGGUGAGGAAUACAUGGGUAACCUACCCUAGAGUGGGGAAUAACUAGCCGAAAGGUUAGCUAAUACCGCGUACGCUCCUUGGACUUCGGUACAGGGAGGAAAGCGAUACCGUGGGUAUCGCGCUCUUGGAUGGGCUCAUGUCCUAUCAGCUUGUUGGUGAGGUAACGGCUCACCAAGGCUUCGACGGGUAGCUGGUCUGAGAGGACGAUCAGCCACACUGGCACUGCGACACGGGCCAGACUCCUACGGGAGGCAGCAGUAAGGAAUAUUGCGCAAUGGGCGAAAGCCUGACGCAGCGACGCCGCGUGGGGGAGUGAAGGGUAC